AGAAACGGGUGUGACUGUACGAAGAAGCCUCGGCCUGGCCUGUCCCUCGCGCUCUCAGAGUGACUGGGCUGGAAUGGGGCUGGGGAGAGGAUCUCUGGAAAUAGUCGUCAGGGGCGCCGCCUGAAUCACCUCUGCCUCUCCCUGCGUUGCCAGUGGAUCUAGGAACCAGGCUCCUCCUUGGAAUCCGUGUACUAAUCCUACGGGGUUGGAGUGAAAGUUGGAUGUGUGCUUUAACAACACCAAGUAGAUGCCCCUCAGCUAUUGCACUAACACAGGCGGGGCUGUUGCCCGGGACUUUGCGGGACUGUGUAUGUGUGUGCGCAGGGGUCACAUAUGGAAGUCAUGGAGAGGAGCUGUCCUUGAGAUGGGUGAGAUACCAGGUGCAUGUGUGCUGCUCAGAAACACAGAGGAACAGAAUCCCCAGCCCUGGUGAAGAAGAGGAUGCCUGAUGCGUGCACCCUGGGAAGGGCUGGAAUCGGUCUCCCCAAGAUGUGCCUUCACAUGGCUGUCCGGCAUUCGAAGGCUCAGAAAACAGGCAAGAAAAUGCGGGCGGGAAACCUGGCAGAAUGAUUACUUUCAGGUCCCCUCCAGGCUUCUGCGGAAAAGCCAGGGGCUUCGGGCUGGAGAUAGAGGAACCUAGGGUGAGAAUAGAAUCCUCUCCUUGCCGGCCCAGCCAGAGGUGGGUGAACCGGGCGCUCCAGGAAACGGUGCGGGGCGCCUUGAUUUACUUCUCAACCUUCGGAGGCAGGCUGCUUGCUGGCGAGGUCGGGAUCCUCUCUGAACAGGGCAUACUGUGCCUAGGUUUUGUGGACGCCAGGGCCGGUUCCUUUUCUCCCCGCGGCAUUGGGGCGACGCAGGGCCCCCGGCUUAGUGACCUUGGGGCGGCGCUCACCUCCAAAGGCCAGGGUGGUGGGCUGGGCAGAACUCACUGCCUCUUUGCCCCAGUUUUCCAGGGUCCCGCAGCUGCAAUUCAGCAGCCACCGGCGCCUCCUGACCGUGGUCCCACCGUAGCGCCGCCUGCGGAUACGGUUCCAGUGAACCGCCGAUUGAGCGCAGUCUCAGCUCCCGCGCCUCCUCGCAGCCUGGCCCCGCGCCUCGGAGGUCCCGACAGCCGGCGCGAGCAAUCUACAUGGCUCUGAUAGAGACGCUUUUCUCCCCAGGGCCGGGAAUCCUGCAACAGCGGCAGAAGCGGCCCGCGCCUCGGGCUUCCGGCGGCCCAGCUCUACUAGGGGAGCGUCGCGGCUGCUCUGAGGCAGGCAGCGCUUCGCUAGAACCGCUCAGCUCGUCCCGCGCCGCCGCCGGCUGCCUGAACCAGGUUCCGCUGUCCCCUUUCGUAGCGGGACCCCGAAACACCCGCCGGCUUCCCGCUCCUGAGCCGGAGAGAAUAGAGCUUGCUGCAACCCUCUGCUUGGAGGGAUGGCCUCUGCGGUGCUUGGCUAGCAAAGGGAAGCUUCACUGUGUCUAUUAGUACAUCCCCAUACACUCCACGCCUCAACAACUGUCAGCACUCACUCCCUCCCGGCCCCUCACAGGGCCCUUUGCACCCACACCUCAGGGACUCGGUGUCCCUCCACUCAGGUCACGUUACUCCAUCCACUUCUCUCUCCUUCUCCCUCUGUCAACUCCAAAUCCCCUCUAGUUCUCCCUCCCCUCCUACUUCUCUCACACUCACCAGCUACACAUACUAAUUCAGAUUUUGCCCAUGUUGGUGGAAAACAUGUCAA
rnacentral:sRNA from 1 species